rnacentral:lncRNA from 1 species
UACCUCUAACCUCUCAAUAACACCGACCCUCGUCUCGUCUAUCAAGACUAUAUCAUCAGCAAAUAGCAUACACCAAGGCACAUUCCCUUGAAUAUGUUUGGUUAGAGCAUCCAUCACCAAGGCAAACAAGAGAGGGCCAAGCGCCGAUCCUUAAUGGAGCCCCAUAACCACUGGAAAAUGGUCUGAGUCGCCACCCACC